AAAAACAUAACCUUUAGCUAAACAAGUAUUAAAGGCAACGCCUGCCCAGUGAAUAAUUAAACGGCCGCGGUAUCCUAACCGUGCAAAGGUAGCAUAAUCAUUUGUCUAUUAAUUGUAGACCUGUAUGAAAGGCAAAAUGAGAGCCCAACUGUCUCUUAUAACAAAUCAAUUAAACUGAUCUUCUAGUCCAAAAGCUAGAAUAUUAACAUAAGACCAGAAGACCCUGUGAAGCUUUAACUAACCUAUUAAACCCAAUAAUAACUACUUUCGGUUGGGGCGACCUUGGAAUAAAAAAGAACUUCCAACAUAUGACUCCUCAUAGGACAGGCAAACAAGCCACACCAGACCCAGUAUUACUGAUAAUUGAAAUAAGUUACUCCAGGGAUAACAGCGCUAUCUUCUUUUAGAGCCCAUAUCAAAAAGAAGGUUUACGACCUCGAUGUUGGAUCAGGACAUCCCAGUAAUGCACCCG
rnacentral:rRNA from 1 species